CAGCUUCAGGGCGCGAGCGCGGGCGGUGCCGGCCACUGCAGGUAACAGAGGCGCUGCGAGGGCAGCCGCGGCCUUGUGGAGAUGAGGAAAUUGAGGCACAGAGAUUAAUUAAUCUGAACCAGAUAAUGCCAUAAGUAGUAGAACUGCGAUGCAAACUUGGACAGUCUGACUCCAGAGUCUGCACACUUAACCACUCCACUAUUCUGGCCUUCUACAAGGUACAUCUUUGGUUGGUAGGAAGCUGUGAUUUUAGUGUGCUAAAUGUUUUUCUGUUUUUGUUUCCUUUUAAUGUUCAUUAAAGUACAUGUAGGAUAACUUUAUGUUGUCU
rnacentral:lncRNA from 1 species